rnacentral:rRNA from 1 species
AGCAGCCGCGGUAAUUCCAGCUCCAAUAGCGUAUAUUAAAGUUGUUGCAGUUAAAAAGCUCGUAGUUGAAUUUCGGGGUUAGUAGGUUGGUCAUGCCUCUGGUAUGUACUGGUCUCACUGAUUCCUCCUUCCUGAUGAGCCGUAAUGCCAUUAAUUUGGUGUUGCGGGGAAUUUGGACUGUUACUUUGAAAAAUUAGAGUGUUUAAAGCAAGCUAACGCUUGAAUACAUUAGCAUGGAAUAAUGAAAUAGGACGUUUGAUUCUAUUUUGUUGGUUUCUAGGAUCGACGUAAUGAUUAAUAGGGAUAGUUGGGGGCAUUAGUAUUCAAUUGUCAGAGGUGAAAUUCUUGGAUUUAUUGAAGACUAACUACUGCGAAAGCAUUUGCCAAGGAUGUUCUCAUUAAUCAAGAACGAAAGUUAGGGGGAUCGAAGACGAUCAGAUACCGUCGUAGUCUUAACCAUAAACUAAUGCCGAUUAGGGAUCGGAUGAUGUUAAUUUUAAUG